rnacentral:misc_RNA from 1 species
GAUGAAGAACGCAGCGAAAUGCGAUACUUGGUGUGAAUUGCAGAAUCCCGUGAACCAUCGAGUCUUUGAACGCAAGUUGCGCCCGAAGCCAUCAGGUUGAGGGCACGUCUGCCUGGGCGUCACAUAUCGUUGCCCAAUGCCUAUUGCAGUGCAAUAGGAAUUUCUAGGGCGAAUGAUGGCUUCCCGUGAGCGUUGUUGCCUCGCGGUUGGUUGAAAAUCGAGUCCGUGGUAGGGUGUGCCAUGGUAGAUGGUGGUCGAGUUAGAACGAUACCGAUCAUGUGCAUGCUCCCCAAAAUAUGGCCUCUAUGACCCACACGCGUCUUUUGACGCUCAUGACGAGACCUCAGGUCAGGCGGGGCUACCCGCUGAAUUUAAGCAUAUCAAUAAGCGGAGGA